CACCGCGGUUAUACGAGAGACCCAAGUCGACAGACAUCGGCGUAAAGAGUGGUUACGGACCCCCAACUCCACUAAAGUCAAACACCUCCUAAACAGUCAUACGCAUUUCGAGGCAAGAGGCCCCACCACGAAAGUGACUUUAUUAUAACUCCCGAGGCCACCACAGCUACGAAA
rnacentral:rRNA from 1 species